rnacentral:rRNA from 1 species
AUGGCCACACAUCACCUCACUGCGCUCCCUCUUCCGGCGUGGGCCAACCAUAAGCUUAGCAAGAUCUCUCGCAACUUCAUAUGGCAAGGCGACAAUUCCGAGAAUGCGACCGGAGGGCACUCCCUGGUAAACUGGAAGACGGUGUGCAGGCCAAAGGCCCUAGGUGGGCUGGGAAUCACAGACCUAGAGAGAUUUGGUCGGGCUCUCCGCUUACGCUGGCCAUGGCUAAUGUGUACCGACCCUGACCGUCAGUGGGUGGGCUCUGCCCUACCCUGCGACGACUCGGAUAUGGCGCUAUUCAGAGCUUCGACCUCCAUCGUGCUGGGUAACGGCCACAAAGCUCUGUUCUGGCAUGAUGACUGGACCGGAAAGGGUCCCCUUAGGAUGCUGGCUCCCGGAUUAUACAAAAUCGCCACAAGAAAGCAGAGAACAGUGUCCAAGGAGCUGCACGAGGAUAACUGGAUCAGAUCAGUCGCCCGCCUUCAGUCUCCCAUACACCUGCAGGAAUUCAUCUCGAUAGCAUCUCUGACCUCCCAGGUUACACUGUCUAUGGACAGGGAGGACUCCAUCUCCUGA